rnacentral:lncRNA from 1 species
CACAGAAAAUGGCAUACAACUGCCAAUAGUGAGUUUAAGCAAGUGACGUUUUUGACAACACGGACGUCGACCGGAGGUAAAGUUGACGUUUUUCACCAAUCACAGCCCUUGACCCAGUCUUCUGACGUUGCUCAUGCCGUCAGUGUUGUCAAAAACGUCACUUGCUUAAGCUCACUAAUGAGGGUCACAGCCCUCUUCAAUGACUUGUCAUGACUCAUGAAUAUUAGUACUACAGUAAUUUUACACUUUUUGAGAGUUAUGUUGACGUAUGCUAACCCAAGUUAAUGUUAGUGAUGGAAUGUGUGUAUUGUCUCACAUCUCACCGAACUGUGGUAAUGUAUUAGAAAUUAUUCGUAUUGCGUUCACGUUAACAACCGUGCCUGCUAUUGCUAUCACAAGUUGAUUGCUCUUUAAAAUUAGAAUUGUAAACUUUCGGAGCCAUAUGGCAUAUAUGUACGAAUCUUUUGAUGGUUCCCACAUUUCGGUGAGAUACAUAAUACUGACUACUGUGCAUGUAUAUUGUAAUUUUAGUUAUAGUAUUGUGUUUAUAA